AGUGAACGCUGGCGGUAGGCCUAACACAUGCAAGUCGAACGGCAGCACAGUAAGAGCUUGCUCUUACGGGUGGCGAGUGGCGGACGGGUGAGGAAUACAUCGGAAUCUACUUUUUCUUGGGUGAUAACGUAGGGAAACUUACGCUAAUACCUCAUACGACCUACGGGUGAAAGCAGGGGAUCUUCGGACCUUGCGCGAUUGAAUUAGCCGAUGCCGGAUUAGCUAGUUGGCGGGGUAAAGGCCCACCAAGGCGACGAUCCGUAGCUGGUCUGAGAGGAUGAUCAGCCACACUGGAACUGAGACACGGUCCAGACUCCUACGGGAGGCAGCAGUGGGGAAUAUUGGACAAUGGGCGCAAGCCUGAUCCAGCCAUACCGCGUGGGUGAAGAAGGCCUUCGGGUUGUAAAGCCCUUUUGUUGGGAAAGAAAAGCAGCAGGUUAAUACCCCGCUGUUCUGACGGUACCCAAAGAAUAAGCACCGGCUAACUUCGUG
rnacentral:rRNA from 1 species